rnacentral:rRNA from 1 species
UACGUAGGUGGCAAGCGUUAUCCGGAAUUAUUGGGCGUAAAGCGCGCGCAGGUGGUUUCUUAAGUCUGAUGUGAAAGCCCACGGCUCAACCGUGGAGGGUCAUUGGAAACUGGGGAACUUGAGUGCAGAAGAGGAAAGUGGAAUUCCACGUGUAGCGGUGAAAUGCGUAGAGAUGUGGAGGAACACCAGUGGCGAAGGCGACUUUCUGGUCUGUAACUGACACUGAGGCGCGAAAGCGUGGGGAGCGAACAGG